rnacentral:sRNA from 1 species
UGUCAACUCGACUAUCACAGUAGAGCUUCUCUCUCUACGAGAGAAGCUCUACUGUGAUAGUCGAGUUGAC